rnacentral:piRNA from 1 species
UAAUGAAAUUCAGAAACACAGACCGAGAC